rnacentral:rRNA from 1 species
AGAGAGAGACAUGCGCGCAUAUCAAUAAGCGGAGGAAAAGAAACUAACAAGGAUUCCCCUAGUAACGGCGAGUGAAGCGGGAAGAGCUCAAAUUUGAAAUCUUAAAGGGUUUCCCUUUACGAAUUGUAGUUUAAAGAAGUGUUUUCUGUUGAGGUUUUGGUAAAAGUUCUUUGGAAUAGGACAUCAUAGAGGGUGAGAAUCCCGUAUUUGACCUUUACUUUCAACUUUGUGAUACACUUUCAAAGAGUCGGAUUGUUUGGGAAUGCAGUCCAAAAUGGGUGGUAAAUUUCAUCUAAAGCUAAAUAUUGGCGAGAGACCGAUAGCGAACAAGUACCGUGAGGGAAAGAUGAAAAGAACUUUGAAAAGAGAGUUAAACAGUACGUGAAAUUGUCAAAAGGGAAGCGUUUGACACCAGUGUUGUUUUUCUGAAAAUCAAUUAAAGAACUGUUUAUGCUAAGCUGUUUAGACUUUAUCAGCUAAUCUGUUUAGUUUUGAGCUUUUCUUUAAUGCACUUUUCAGUUAACAAGUCAACAUCAAUUUCUUUUGCUGUAAAAAAGCUUGAGGAAGGUGGCUUGAGAUUCGUCUUAAGUGUUUAUAGCCUCUUGCCUAUGCAGUCGGAGAGAUUGAGGUCUGCAGCGUAGAUCCUUCGGGGCUAAAUGCAUUUGUGCUAAGUUAUAGCAUUUUAUAGACAACUUGUUGACUAUGAUUUGUCUUGUAGCUUACUCGCUUAUGUUAUUUUACCUACGCUUAGGAUGUUGAGCGCAUGUCUCUCUCU